rnacentral:misc_RNA from 1 species
GAAAUGCGAUAAGUAAUGUGAAUUGCAGAAUUCAGUGAAUCAUCGAAUCUUUGAACGCACAUUGCGCCCGCCAGUAUUCUGGCGGGCAUGCCUGUUUGAGUAUCAUGAAAUCUUCAAAGUAAAUCUUUUGUUAACUCAAUUGGUUUCUACUUUGGUAUUGGAGGUCUUUGCAGCUUCACACCUGCUCCUCUUUGUUCAUUAGCUGGAUCUCAGUGUUAUGCUUGGUUCCACUCGGCGUGAUAAGUUAUCUAUCGCUGAGGACACUGUAAAAGGUGGCCAAGGUAAAUGCAGAUGAACCGCUUCUAAUAGUCCAUUGACUUGGACAAUACUUUUAUGAUCUGAUCUCAAAUCAGGUAGGACUACCCGCUGAACUUAAGC